rnacentral:lncRNA from 1 species
AGUAAUCUGUUUCUCAUGGGAAAGAAAAGGCUUCUGAGCCCCAGGAACAGAACAGAAUGAGAGGUAGGUGGGCCAGACACAUACACAUAUAUCUAAACUAUGUUCCUAGUUCUGGCAGACUUUGAAAGCAAGAAAGGCCUCAGAAUGACAGAAGGGCCGAAAUUCAAUGUCACUUAGUGUAGGAUUGCAUUCAGCAAUGGUUUGCACUUAACCAAGCCAUCAAACUUGAAAUGAAAUCUGGCCGCCUAGGUUAGCUCAUUGAAUAGGGACUGCCUGGAGAGUAUUGAUGUAGUAAUGAUUUCAGCAGAUCUGAACUUCUGAUAGUUCCUCUGAAAUGUUUUCUGCACUGUACCUUUUAUGGCAGAAACAGCUAUCCAAACACCUAGAGAUUCACUCUGAGAAGAGGUCCAGUUGCCUGAGGAUGGAGGUUGAGGAGAUAUUUGGCUACCACUUAUCAUGAGCUUUUACAUUUCAGUCCCAGAACAUAUCAGGGUGUCUCACUGCCUUUCAAGGUUUUGCUACCUAAAAUGGAUAUGGACAUUUAUUUCAGCCUACCAAAGUACUCUGCUUCAGUUUAGUUCUGAGAGCUGGAACAAGGCCAUGGUGAGCUUUGAGGCAAGAAACCCAGGGCAGUCCACUUCACUCCCACUGAUGGUGUUUAGUAUCUGUUUUACACCAUAAUCCUUCCAAAUUCACAGACUGUAGUGAGCUCAGAUUUCCUAGAACACAUGCAUGGCCUCCCCCAUUGAAUACACCAGAAAGUCCUCUUGUAAACUCCCGGGAAGCAGAAGCCUCAGACCGAGAGACUAUUGGGUUUAUCUUGUCCUGGAACUGCUGACACAAUUAGCUUUGUAUUUGCCACCCUGUGGGAGGAAAGGCAUUGAGAAGAAUGUUGAGAAGCAAACACAGGGGAGUUUUAAGUUCUAUUUUAUAAC